GAGAGAAUUUCUGUUUACUUUUGCCAAGCAACCAGGAGCAGGCUAGGCUCACUCAUGGUACGCCCAUCAAGCGAGUGCAUGUUGCUGUCUUUAGUAGCUAAUGUGACUGUAGCGUUAGCGUUUAAAAAAAAAC